rnacentral:rRNA from 1 species
UACGUAGGGUGCAAGCGUUGUCCGGAAUUAUUGGGCGUAAAGAGCUCGUAGGCGGUCUGUCGCGUCGGCUGUGAAAACUCGGGCUCAACCCCGAGCUUGCAGUCGAUACGGGCAGGCUAGAGUUCGGCAGGGGAGACUGGAAUUCCUGGUGUAGCGGUGAAAUGCGCAGAUAUCAGGAGGAACACCGGUGGCGAAGGCGGGUCUCUGGGCCGAUACUGACGCUGAGGAGCGAAAGCGUGGGGAGCGAACAGG